rnacentral:rRNA from 1 species
CUCCCUAACCCUUCUGUGAACCUACCUAUCGUUGCUUCGGCGGACUCGCCCCAGCCCGGACGCGGACUGGACCAGCGGCCCGCCGGGGACCUCAAACUCUUGUAUUCCAGCAUCUUCUGAAUACGCCGCAAGGCAAAACAAAUGAAUCAAAACUUUCAACAACGGAUCUCUUGGCUCUGGCAUCGAUGAAGAACGCAGCGAAAUGCGAUAAGUAAUGUGAAUUGCAGAAUCCAGUGAAUCAUCGAAUCUUUGAACGCACAUUGCGCCCGCCAGCAUUCUGGCGGGCAUGCCUGUUCGAGCGUCAUUUCAACCCUCGACCUCCCCUGGGGGAGGUCGGCGUUGGGGACCGGCAGCACACCGCCGGCCCUGAAAUGGAGUGGCGGCCCGUCCGCGGCGACCUCUGCGUAGUAAUACAGCUCGCACCGGAACCCCGACGCGGCCACGCCGUAAAACACCCAACUUCUGAACGUUGACCUCGAAUCAGGUAGGACUACCCGCUGAACUUAAGCAUAUCAAUAAGCGGAGGAAAAGAAACCAACAGGGAUUGCCCCAGUAACGGCGAGUGAAGCGGCAACAGCUCAAAUUUGAAAUCUGGCUCUCAGGGCCCGAGUUGUAAUUUGUAGAGGAUGCUUUUGGCGAGGUGCCUUCCGAGUUCCCUGGAACGGGACGCCACAGAGGGUGAGAGCCCCGUAUGGUCGGACACCGAGCCUCUGUAAAGCUCCUUCGACGAGUCGAGUAGUUUGGGAAUGCUGCUCAAAAUGGGAGGUAUAUGUCUUCUAAAGCUAAAUAUUGGCCAGAGACCGAUAGCGCACAAGUAGAGUGAUCGAAAGAUGAAAAGCACUUUGAAAAGAGGGUUAAAAAGUACGUGAAAUUGUUGAAAGGGAAGCGCUUAUGACCAGACUUGCGCCCGGUGAAUCACCCAGCGUUCUCGCUGGUGCACUUUGCCGGGCACAGGCCAGCAUCAGUUCAGCGCGGGGGAGAAAGGCUUCGGGAAUGUGGCUCCCUCGGGAGUGUUAUAGCCCGCUGCGUAAUGCCCUGCGCCGGACUGAGG